rnacentral:rRNA from 1 species
AGUGAACGCUGGCGGUAGGCCUAACACAUGCAAGUCGAACGGCAGCACAGUAAGAGCUUGCUCUUACGGGUGGCGAGUGGCGGACGGGUGAGGAAUACAUCGGAAUCUUCUUUUUCGUGGGGGAUAACGUAGGGAAACUUACGAUACUACCGCAUAUGAUCUACGGGUGAAAGCAGGGGAUCUUCGGACUUUGCGCGAUUGAAUGAGCUGAUGUCGGAUUAGCUAGUUGGCGGGGUAAAGGCCCACCAAGGCGACGAUCCGUAGCUGGUCUGAGAGGAUGAUCAGCCACACUGGAACUGAGACACGGUCCAGACUCCUACGGGAGGCAGCAGUGGGGAAUAUUGGACAAUGGGCGCAAGCCUGAUCCAGCCAUACCGCGUGGGUGAAGAAGGCCUUCGGGUUGUAAAGCCCUUUUGUUGGGAAAGAAAAGCAGCAGGUUAAUACCCCGCUGUUCUGACGGUACCCAAAGAAUAAGCACCGGCUAACUUCGUG